UUUACCUGCCCCUGCUCAGCAGUGUCACUGCAGGGACCUUUGCCUCUGAUCGGAGGCUUCCGUCCUCCAGUAUUUCACACACUUGCUUUUGGUUUAUUUUCUCACGAUCCUGCACACAUCCCCGUCGAACAUGCAUCGCGGCAAGAUGUUGUGAAGUGUCCCAUGUGGAGCCAGCAGGGGAGCACACUUCUGAGGAGGCCCUAAUGAAGGGAUUUUGAGCCGAUUCUCUGCUGCAGUUGAACCUGAAACAGAUGCAUUUGGACGGAGGCGGCAGCAACAGCAACUUGCUUUAAGGUUAUGGUCUGUGGAAAGGGGUCGGCCCUGCUGUGGUGGCGAUGCAUGAUUCAUCUCUGUUUGUUCUGCCUGUGAUGCCUUUUUGACCGGGACUCUCCUGAAGCGUCGACACAUCUGGACUCAUGGGAUUCCUCCAGAGCCAGAACCUGACUCUGGGCUCCACCCAGCCAGAGGUCAUCUACCUGGAGUCAACGUCACAACUGUUACCAUCCGUUGACAACACCUUCAUCGUGCUCGGCCUGUUGACCUUCGCCCUCCAGCUGUGUUUACUCCUAUUCUUGCUGCUGAGAUAUUGGAGGUUCGACAACAGUGUGGCAGAGGCUCUCAAACACCCGGACACUGCCAACAAACUCCUCGUCCCGUCCAGCGUCUAUCCAGACAUUUACAAACAAGCCAGCUACCAGCUAUUCGACGGGGACACUGCUGCUUCUUGGUCGCCUGCGGUGUCUGCUGGGGAUGAACCCUAUGAAACCAACGAACCCUCCACGCACCCUCUAUUUGCACCUGUCAUACCCUGGGACCUUGUGCAGUGCUGACAGGCUCCCGACCCGUUGAAGCAGUAGUUUUGAAGCGAUGUACGGUCAGUUUUUAAAAGUAAAGGCCUCUGAUAUUUUAGAAUACUGAAAAGAAUACUGCUAGUGUGCCUUUUGCUAUCUUACAGUUUUUCCCCAUUGGUUUGGCUCAUUUCUUGAAAAAGAAAUUACAUUCUCAAAACUCUAAGAUCAUUUGGCAAAACAGUCUUACAGUUCAGCACAACACCAUAGUUCACUUGCAAAAGCUCAUAUCUCUCCCAAACUGUUCACUCAUGCUUCAAAACUAAAUUCCUUCCCCAUAUAAAUAGUCAGCGCCACCAAAAGGCAAAAGAUCCUCCUCAAUUGCUUUGGCUCAUUUCUCGAAACAGACCGGACGUUCUCAACACUCUUGGUGCUUUUGCCAAAAUAACCUGGAUGGUUCAGCACAACACCAUGGUUCACCUGCAAAAGCUCAUAUCUCUCCCAAAACAGUUCACUCAUGUGUCAAAACUAAAUUCCUUUCUCAUAUAAAUAGUCAGUGCCCCCACGAUGCAUUGUCCUUUUGGCAUUGUGUAAGCACUGCAAGUCAAAAUGUUUAGAUGUUUUGUCACUAUGGCAGGAAUGAGGACCAUUGAAAUAUCCCUCAUGUCCACCUCUCAGUCUUAGCCCAGUCCUUCAUUGACAAUGGUUACUGUACUAGUUUUUUUGUCUAGCAAUUGUGUAUAAACCUGAAAAAAAAUAGGAUUUUACGGUAAGAUUGCCCUCCAAGGUUUGACAUCACACAUUGCACUCAUACUACCAAGGAAAUUGUAACCAUUUUUAUUCACACAAAUAAAGUAACUUCCAUAAAUCAGAGUUAAAAGAAAAUGUAUACAGCACAAUAUACUGUAAUAUAAACACAAACAAAAAACAAGGAAAAUUAUAUGUAGCCUACAGUGCUGUAAAUAAAGCUGGAGCUGUCCUCACCCUCCCUCUCCUGGCCACCAUCCUCACCCUCCUGGCCAUCCACACGCUGCUGUCUGUCUGGCCACAGAUUCUCGUCCACAUCACAGCGUAUAUUCUCCCUUGCGAUGCAACGAGGGAAGAAAUGCCGUGCAUGUCGCAAACCAUCCCCAGCACUGAUCUCCUGUAAUAUCAUCACACGCAGCGUCCAUUGCAUGGAGCAGGGACCUCUGAUUUUGAGCCUGAUGCUCAUACACUCUCCACCUCCAUGCGGAGAAAAACUCCUCAAUAGGAUUGAGGAAAGGAGAGUAAGGUGGUAGGACCACACCAUCCUUGGAUGAGUAGUGAACCAGGCCCUGAUGAGUGGGCCACGGUGGAAAUUCACAUUGUCCCACACAAUUAUAUACUUUGGUAGGUGAGGCCCUACGAGACCUCUCUCAUUUUCAGGGAUCAAAUCAGAAUGAAGGCGGUCUAAGAAGAUGAGGAGCUUCUGUGUAUUGUAUGGGCCAAGACUGGGGAUGUGAGUGGCCACACCAUUCUCAGAAAUGGCAGCACACAUAGUUAUAUUGCCCCCACGCUGGCCUGGGACAUCCACCGUGGCCCGGUGGCCAAUAAUAUUACGGCCACGUCUUCGGCCCUUGGCCAGGUUGAAGCCAGCUUCAUCCACAAACAGGAGGAUUUGAGGGGUCUCGUUUCCUUCCAAUGCCAUUAUUCUCUACAAUAGAGUAAAACAAAAUCAUCAAAUCAGUCAUACAGAAGAGUCAUACACUAGAGUAACAGAAAAUUACAGAGGAAUGUUCCCAAAAAAGUUUGGGAACCACUGCUUAAUUGUAAAAAGGUUAUAAAGAUAGAAAACCAGUAACUGACUUACAUGUACAUACUAGUACCGCAGCACUUUUCCUCUAUCAUAGUUCCUCUCAAAUGGUACCCUGUAAAGUUACUUCAUGGUCAUCUGAUGCUUGUUCAAUAUCCAGUCUAUUGUGGAGAUGCUUAUAGAGUUGACAUUUUGGAAUAUGGCAUUGUCUUCUAUGUUUGCAGUGCGGAUCUGUCUCAGUGUGAUGGCAUUAUUUGCCAUCACCAUGUUACAGAUGUCUUGUUCUUGUUGGUCAUUGAGAAGUUUUCCUCUGCCACCCGUGCGAGGUUGUCGUCCAAUCCUAGACAUACAAUUCAAAGGACAACACUGUAUUACCAUUCGUAAUGUAUGCCUAUGUAUUUCUUACAGAAUGAGUUACCAAUGUAAUUGUAUUGUUGUUUUACUUACAGUAACUUUACCACAAUUCUAAUGCAUCACUGCACAAUGACUGUAAUACUACUGUAAACUGUAUCAUCAAUAAUUUGAGAUAUAUAUAUAUAUAUAUAUAUUUCUAGUCAUUUUUAGUGUCAUAACAUCCCUACAGCACACACACACACACACACACACACACACACACACACACACACACACACACACACACACACACACUAAAUGAAUCGGUAAAUAAGUAAAUAAAUACAUCUCUUGCUUUAUGCACAGUGUCCUGUCCUAUUCAACAUAUAAUUCCAUCAUUGACUGAGUACAUACCUGUUUUCCCUGCGAAAGGUUUGGAUGAUGGAGGAGACUGUAGAGCGGGGCAAAUUACGCUGCACUCGGCGACCUGCCUCCGCCAUUGUUAGGCGAUGGUUGAUAACAUGGUCUAAAAGUGUGGCCCAAAUUUCAUCCGGGACAACAUGGUGUCCUCGUGCUCCUCGGCCUCUUCCCCCUAUUCUACCGCCACGCACCCUUACUCCUCCUCCUCUUCUUCCUCUUCCUCAAGCAGGCAUUUGCCCUUGUUCAUUUACUUGGCCAGGUGCCUCCAUGUUGAGAAAUUGUACUGGUCCUGGUCAAGCUCUAUACAUGCAUGUUUGGCAGCAUUCACAAUCAUGGGCAGCACCUGUCAGGUUACUAAACAUAUUGUUUGAUUGGUCAUCUGAGAUGUGUGAAACUCCUCCUUCGUUAGUCAAGUUCUAUUUUCACCUGACUGUCAGUUAAUCAAUUUAUCAAAUGUUCCAAGAGAUUCAUUUAUGGUAGUCAUGGUAUUAGGUUCUUGACUAAUUUUGAAAAUUGAACGGACUAUUGUGCAUGUGAUAUCUUAUACAAUGAAAUGAUGCUGACAUGUUUUGGAGAGAACAACCAUUAGACUGAGAAUCAACAAUCAGUUUAGAUCAACAAGAUCUAUUCACUUGGAAAUUGUGCUAAAUGUAGGCUAACUGUGCUAACUGUAGGCUACCUGUACUUAAUCAUUUCCAAAGAUGUACUAAGACAUUUGCAAUUUGAUGAAAUGAAUGAGAAAUUCAAUUCUGUUGUAAACAAUUGCCAAGUGGUUUGGAGGUUUGUCCAUGUUAUUUUGAGAAUGUAAUUUCUGUUCCAAGAAAUGAGCCAAACCAAUGGAGAAAAACUGUAAUAUGAGGAAUCAACUUAGCUGGUAUACCUUAGUGGUUUACACCACAGACUUUGGUACAGAAGGUUGGGGGUUCGAUUUCAGGUGUGGGCCCUUAGGCAAGGCCCUUAAUGCUACCUGCCUCGAUGACUGUGAGUCGCUUUGGACGAAAUGAAUGCAAUGUAAUUCAAAUUUCUCGAACCGUUCAUCCCGUCUAAUUCACACGUUGCUGGUGACACAAGGAAAUGCAGGUGUGAAUUUGGUGCAAUUUGGACACUACUAUGAAUAUCAAUACGUUCUAAAUAAACAGGCCGAUAGAGUUUGGUAGCAGCGGGCGAUGGCCGACGACAACUGAGGUGUUCUGCGAACUGAGUGCAGCUUCACUGAUCUUUGAAUAAACAGGCGACCAGGUCUUCGUGCGCUGCUUCAGGGCUCUGCAGGUUGAGUCCGCCAUGUCCUCACCAAGUCCGCAGCCAGUCUUUACUUGUUGCGGCUCAAUAACUAUCGCUCACUUUAGCCGUUCAAGAAAGCUACAACCAGCAACACAACAGGCCGAACAAAACCGGCCCAUUCCAAACAGACCUUUACAAAAGGCACCGCACCAAUAUGACUUUGUGAAAUGUACAAAGUGUGGUUUGUACUGUAGUAACAAACCCACAGAGAGUCUAAUGUUCCCUCCUGCAUUUUAGCCUCUUUCUGCUCUUUUUUUUUUCAUUUCAUAGCCCACCAACUUAGGUUCGCCCUCACCACCAACAUCAUUGUCUCUCUGAGCAGAUGUUUCUAGAAAAAAGAAAUAAAGCUCAGAUAGAGCAGCUGCACGUGACCUGUCCCCUUACCAAACAGAUGGUGACCAACAUGAUCUGUUUGACUUACCCCAGACAGCCAUGAAUACGGCGAAGAAAACGGUUGCCCCGUUGUCGAAAAGAUGGGUGACCUGAAAAUGAAGAAAGAAAGUCACUAGAUAGAUAAAUAUACAUAUUUUCUAAAAAGCAUUCAUAGUUCAUAGUUACUGUUUAUCUCAACAGAGAAACGCGUCAAUGUGCUUAAUCAUUUUGAGUAAAAAAUAAAAUCACAUUUUGAUAGACAUGGUUGGCUCGCUGGCAAAGUUUCCACAGGAACAAUAAAAACGCGCAUCACAUCAGCGGUCGGGAAAACUGCGUCCGUGCAGUGCUGCAGUGACCGUACCUUGGCGUAGAUACAGCUGUCGGACAGUCUCAGGUAGGGGCAGUACUGGUCACAGAUGGGACACAUGAUGAUGUCAGUGGCCUGGCAGAUUUCUUUACUGAAGGAAAAACAAACAGCAUUAAGCUCAUCAGAUUCCGGCUAAGCCUGGCAUCGCAGUGAACAGAAACUCCAGGGUCAACCAAACUUUGGGCUGUCAGAACAAAACGAAAGCAGGUGUUUGCGAGAGGGUGUUUGCGUGUGUGUGUGUGUGUGUGUGUGUGUAUCAGUUCGUUUCAUUUCCAAGUUUGUUGAUUGAACAAUGAUGCUGUUUUAAGAAAUAAAAUGAAUUACUUAAAAUUA